UACAGAGGUCUCAAGCGUUGUUCGGAUUCAUUGGGCGUAAAGGGUGCGUAGGCGGCGCGGUAAGUCGGGUGUGAAAUCUUGGAGCUUAACUCCGAAACUGCAUUCGAUACUGCCGUGCUUGAGGACUGGAAAGGAGACUGGAAUUUACGGUGUAGCGGUGAAAUGCGUAGAUAUCGUAAGGGAAGACCAGUGGCGAAGGCGGGGUC
rnacentral:rRNA from 1 species